rnacentral:lncRNA from 1 species
UCAAAACAAACAAGGAUGCUGAGUUAGAUUUCUCUCUGAUGCAAACCCUGAAUGAUGUUGCUUUUCUUUUAGGGAAUCCUCACCAGACUGGGAAGGCAAGGAGAAGCACACCCUGACUGUGGCCCACACCUAUGGGGGCUAUUGUUCAUGACAGCGCUUUGGCUCUUUCCGCCAUCCGUUCGAGAGCAUUCAGUUUCCUCGACCCACAGAUGUCCUAGGUGGGGCCUUAAGAGAAAAGUGAAGUUCUGAAACAGUCAUUGAGAAGAUGAGAAAGCUGACCAAAGAUUAAUACAAGGAAGGUCCAAUUGAGAUUAGAAAUCAGAAAAUUCCUGCUAGUGGGGUUGGGGUGUUUCUAAUGGGGCUCAGAUGUUCAGGUACAUUGGUAUGCACACAGCCUGUGAUUACAGAAACAAGGUUUAAAAUAUAUGGUAAAAGAUGGGAUUCAGCUAGGU